GGGUUGGAAGCGGGCAGGGGAUGGAAGCGGGCAGGGGAUUCCAUCCCCUGCCCGCUUCCAUCCCCUGCCCACUUCCAUCCCC
rnacentral:pre_miRNA from 1 species